AACAAACGCUGGCGGCGUGCCUAAUACAUGCAAGUCGAACGGGGAAAGCUUUCGGGCGAGUACUAGUGGCGCACGGGUGAGGAACACGUGGAUAAUCUGCCUUGGAGAGGGGGAUAACUAGUCGAGAGAUUAGCUAAUACCGCAUAAGACCACAGGAACUGAGGUUCUAGGGGUCAAAGGUUUUUCGCUCCAAGAUGAGUCCGCGUAAGAUUAGCUAGUUGGUGAGGUAAUGGCUCACCAAGGCGACGAUCUUUAACUGGUCUGAGAGGAUGAUCAGGCACACUUGGAUUGAGACACGGUCCAGACUCCUACGGGAGGCAGCAGUAGGGAAUAUUGCACAAUGGGGGAAACUCUGAUGCAGCGACGCCGCGUGAGUGAUGAAGGCCUUCGGGUCGUAAAGCUCUGUCGCAGGGGAAUAAAAAAAUGAAGGUACCCUGCAAGAAAGGAUCGGCUAACUUCGUGCCAGCAGCCGCCGUAA
rnacentral:rRNA from 1 species